GAUCAUUACUGAGUUACCGCUCUAUAACCCUUUGUGAACAUACCUAACCGUUGCUUCGGCGGGCAGGGGAAGCCUCUCGCGGGCCUCCCCUCCCGGCGCCGGCCCCACCACGGGGACGGGGCGCCCGCCGGAGGAAACCAAACUCUAUUUACACGACGUCUCUUCUGAGUGGCACAAGCAAAUAAUUAAAACUUUUAACAACGGAUCUCUUGGUUCUGGCAUCGAUGAAGAACGCAGCGAAAUGCGAUAAGUAAUGUGAAUUGCAGAAUUCAGUGAAUCAUCGAAUCUUUGAACGCACAUUGCGCUCGCCAGCAUUCUGGCGAGCAUGCCUGUUCGAGCGUCAUUUCAACCCUCAAGCACCGCUUGGUUUUGGGGCCCCACGGCACACGUGGGCCCUUAAAGGUAGUGGCGGACCCUCCCGGAGCCUCCUUUGCGUAGUAACUAACGUCUCGCACUGGGAUUCGGAGGGACUCUUGCCGUAAAACCCCCCAAUUUUUUACAGGUUGACCUCGGAUCAGGUAGGAAUACCCGCUGAA
rnacentral:rRNA from 1 species